UACGUAGGGGGCAAGCGUUGUCCGGAAUCAUUGGGCGUAAAGAGCGUGUAGGCGGCUCGAUAAGUCCGCUGUGAAAGUCCAGGGCUCAACCCUGGAAUGCCGGUGGAUACUGUCGAGCUAGAGUCCGGAAGAGGCAAGUGGAAUUCCUGGUGUAGCGGUGAGAUGCGCAGAUAUCAGGAGGAACACCGAUAGCGAAGGCAGCUUGCUGGGACGGUACUGACGCUGAGACGCGAAAGCGUGGGGAGCAAACAGG
rnacentral:rRNA from 1 species